rnacentral:rRNA from 1 species
UACGUAGGUGGCAAGCGUUGUCCGGAAUUAUUGGGCGUAAAGCGCGCGCAGGCGGCCUUUUACGUCUGAUGUGAAAGCCCACGGCUCAACCGUGGAAGGUCAUUGGAAACUGAAAGGCUUGAGUACAGAAGAGGAAAGCGGAAUUCCACGUGUAGCGGUGAAAUGCGUAGAGAUGUGGAGGAACACCAGUGGCGAAGGCGGCUUUCUGGUCUGUAACUGACGCUGAGGCGCGAAAGCGUGGGGAGCAAACAGG